rnacentral:lncRNA from 1 species
CUGUAGCAGACCUCUGUGGAAUAAGCUCUCAGUGAGUGAUGCAGCCUAAAUGCAUUAAAUGUUUGGAGGAGAGGAAGCAGGAGGAAGUCUGGAAACCUGCACAGAGCCAGCGCACAGUGCUGAUAAGAAGUCUACAUUAAUGAGGAAGCCACUGAAUUACUGAGUAUGAAAAUGGGUGAAAUAGGCUGUAUUUGUGUGAAGAACUAUUUGGAAAUAAUGUAUUGAUAGUUUUUAAUUCCAGAGGAUCUAUUAUAGCAGGGAUG